GAUGAACGCUAGCUACAGGCUUAACACAUGCAAGUCGAGGGGUAACAAGAGGAAAGCUUGCUUUCUUUGUUGACGACCGGCGCACGGGUGAGUAACGCGUAUCCAACCUGCCUAUAACUAGGGAAUAACCUUGCGAAAGUAAGACUAAUACCCUAUGAUUUCCUUUGAUGACAUCAGAUUAGGAAUAAAGAUUUAUCGGUUAUAGAUGGGGAUGCGUCUGAUUAGCUUGUUGGCGGGGUAACGGCCCACCAAGGCAACGAUCAGUAGGGGUUCUGAGAGGAAGGUCCCCCAUAUUGGAACUGAGACACGGUCCAAACUCCUACGGGAGGCAGCAGUGAGGAAUAUUGGUCAAUGGGCGGAAGCCUGAACCAGCCAAGUAGCGUGCAGGAUGACGGCCCUAUGGGUUGUAAACUGCUUUUAUACAGGAAUAAAGUUAGCCACGUGUGGUUAUUUGUAGGUACUGUAUGAAUAAGGACCGGCUAAUUCCGUGCCAGCCGCCGCUGUAA
rnacentral:rRNA from 1 species